GUAGUAAAGCCAAACUACUUGUGGAUGAAGGUAAUUCUUGGUUGUUGGAAAGCUGCUAGAAGAGCUUCUUAGAGGAAGUGAUGGAAACUUGCUUGAGGACGCUGGGACUAAAUGUUGUCCUGGCAGUAUACGAGGCUGUAAAAUCAUAAAAAGUAGAGUUAAAAUGCAGACACCAAUCCUGAGGAUCUACCUGCUGGAGGCUUAUGCAGCUUAGAAAGCAGGUGUGCUUGACAAUAAACAGUACAAGGAGAAUGUGGGCUUACAUUUUCUGAUGGAAACAACUUUCUCUACUGUCUUGCAAGGAGAAAGGCAAAUUCAGCUUCAAAGCUUCUUCAGAAUCACAUUUCCUGUAUCUAUUUGUUGUAAUCUAUUUCUGUUGCACUCUUUCAAUCCCGAGCAUAUAUUCCCCAUGAUACUCAAAAAAGUAAUCCUUCCUCACCCUUCCUUGUAACUUAGCCUCUCCCUUUCACCUAAUCAUCUCAGCUGCCUUUCUUCCCAUCUAUUACAAAUCAUUGGUUCUAAUGUGUUUGACAUGAGCGAGAGAUAGUAGAGAUUUAUUUUUUGUUUUUUACAAAGGUUGUAGUAAUUUAUUUUUCUUGCUGUUACAGGAAGUUGUGUCUCAACUGCUGGUAUCGCAAUCUGAUUUUGAAGCUUUUUCAUGCUAAGACUCUUCAAAUGGGUGUUCCUCAGCAGGCCAGGGAGAAGUAUUUUCACUGAAUUGCAAAGCUAAGACCUAUGGGGCACGCAUCGCUGAAACCACUGAACAAACAGGACCUAGGAAACACACUGAAUUUGCAACUUCCAUCCCUUUCCUACUCAGAAAGCCCUGUCAAGUUUAAGUGCAAAGAAGAGCAUACUGCAGAGGCAGAGUUUCUUCUUUGGACCACCCCUCCCAGGGGCCAGACGCGGCUUCCAGUGAUGAAAGCAGAGGGAGACUCACCAUGUUUAUAUUCUUCUGUCAAAUGGCUGUUCUGCCAAAUCUAUUUUGGAAGCUUGCUGUCCUUCAAAACUUAAUGGUGAAGGGCUUCCUGUGGAGCUGUACUACAGUGUAUGCUUACUACAUCAUGCAGUAAGCCUUGUCAUCAGUAAACAGCAUUUACAUCUAUAGAAAAGGCCAGGGGGAUGACAAUGAAAAGAUUUAAAAAAACUCUGAGUAACAGGCAGUGCUUUGUAUAUGUCUGCUCAUACAUUCACUAGGAGUGACUAAAAAAAUCCAGAGAUAACUCACAUAGUCAAGUUUUAUGUGGAAAAAAUAACUGGCACGGAGAUCAGGUGGCACAUACCAAAAUGCUGGACUCUUUCUACAUGUUAAUCAACCAGUGUGUGAGAGAUUAAUCAAAAUGCAUGUUCUGUAACAUGUAACAAUGCAAAAUUCUCUUCUGUCAUAUGAAACCAGAAAAAAUGCUAGUUAUGUGCAUGACCAAAAAGGUACCAUGUUUUUCAAUUAGUAUAAAAGCCUGAACAGUGACAAUGACAAUCAACCAGUGAGUGGCAGAGCACAAAACUCACCCUGGACUAGGCCAAUGAAUCAAAGUAUUGCUGGAAUUGCAAAUACUAAUGCAACUGUCAAAGAUUUAAAGUACUUAAAUUCAAAGGUAUUAAAGCAAUAAAAUUCUACCAACAUGGUAGCCUUAAGGCAAUGAGAUGUCUUAAUAACCUAAAAAUUGAAUUGGCACUCUCUUCUCUGCCCUGAAUCAUAAAUAAAAGUUCUACCAUGGUUAAUUUGGCCUUUCAGAUUUCC